GCCCGUGUAGCAAAGUGGUAUUGCGUUUCCCUCCUAAGGAAGAGAUCGUGGGUUCUUUUCCACAUUCAAUUAGUGGCA